UUUUCACUGGAAUUUGUUUCUCCCGCUAUUUUCUAGAUACUCUGUCGCUAUCUCCAACUCCAAUUCAGACCCAAAAUACAGACAUCCUACCCUAAUUCUUCUUGUGCUCUCUCAUCUAGCAACCAUAUCACAAGACCUCACACAUCUUAGCUCCAGUUCUAAGCAGAAAUUCUAUUCGUUCCCAAAGCUCCCUAUGUCUGCACUCUCAAGUCACAGAUCUUCAUCUCAUUCGAAGUCACAAAUCUCCAUAUGGUUGCACUGUACCAUGGUCGAUGGUGGAUGAUUUUUCGGAAGGUACAGUUGGGUUUGACAUUGGUGGUUCAAUUUGGGUUCAAUUGGAUAUGUUCAAGAUUUUAUCCUAAAAUUCGUUUGACUGGAGACCAAGAUUUUAUCAAGGCUUGAGAUGAAGUAUAAACUCAGAUGAAAGAGAGAUUGUUGUUUUUGAUGGCUUGUCCCAGUUAAGUUUUCCAUGAUCACUUUUUUCGAUUGUUUGCUUGUACUACUGUAUACUUUUCUUGUCUUUUGAUGAUGUGCGAAGACCUUUUAGCUUCUAACAUAUUCAGGUUCAUGAGAAAACUACCAGAAAAAGUUAUCAAUAAAACAUAAAAUUGCUUGUCAUUCAGGUCUUCUGUUUUUUUUUUUUUCUAGAUUAAAGGCAUGCAUGCACUUUCCUAAAUAGACAAUUAAAAUUUUCUAGAAAAUUGCUUCUCAUUUAGGUUGUUUGGUGAGCAGGAAAUAGAAAAAAUUUAUUUGAAAGAAAUAUUGAAAUUAAGGGCUGUUUGGAGAGUCGGUUUUGGUAAGUAGUCUCUGUGAACUUUUAACUUUAAAGGCAACAUCCCAUAUAAUGUGAACAUUGAGAUCCAAUGGCCCCAAUUAUGCUGAGAGAGAGAGAGAGAUAUAUAUAUAUAUAUAUAUAUAUAUAUAUAGAGAGAGAGAGAGAGAGAGAGAGAGAGAGAGAUUGUUUCAAUCCAUUUUCACUUUUAAUUCUCAUUCAAUUUUGGUUCUUGUCUUGUGGUUUUUUCUCUGUUUGAACAAUUUGGCUAUUUUAUGAGAUUGCAUGUGUUUUAUAGGUCAGCCAUGGAAUCAAUCAGAGUUCUGGACCAUUGUGGACAUUUUAUCUCAGAAGGUGUGGUUGUAAUUAUUUUAGUACCAUUUACACCCACUUUUGGACAUGAAGCAUCACAUCCUCUCAAACUAUCAUGGAGAUAAUCUUUUUGGAUGCUUACUUUGUUUUGGAUAGUGCAAGUAUCAAAUCUUCUCAAACUUUAGAGGAUUGACUUUGUGGGAUUAGUUAAAGACAAUUUUAAUGUAUUAGAAUCAUUUUGAAUAAUAGAAAUAUAAUUUAGAGUA